rnacentral:rRNA from 1 species
AAGCUCGUAGUUGAAUUUCGGGGUUAGUAGGUUGGUCAUGCCUCUGGUAUGUACUGGUCUCACUGAUUCCUCCUUCCUUAUGAACCGUAAUGCCAUUAAUUUGGUGUUGCGGGGAAUUUGGACUGUUACUUUGAAAAAAAUUAGAGUGUUUAAAGCAAGCUAACGCUUGAAUACAUUAGCAUGGAAUAAUGAAAUAGGACGUUCGAUCUUAUUUUGUUGGUUUCUAGGAUUGACGUAAUGAUUAAUAGGGAUAGUUGGG